rnacentral:rRNA from 1 species
CAGUAGCCGCGGUAAAACGUAGGGUGCAAGCGUUAAUCGGAAUUACUGGGCGUAAAGCGUGCGCAGGCGGUUUGUUAAGACAGAUGUGAAAUCCCCGGGCUCAACCUGGGAACUGCAUUUGUGACUGGCAAGCUAGAGUGUGGCAGAGGGGGGUGGAAUUCCGCGUGUAGCAGUGAAAUGCGUAGAUAUGCGGAGGAACACCGAUGGCGAAGGCAGCCCCCUGGGCCAACACUGACGCUCAUGCACGAAAGCGUGGGGAGCAAACAGGAUUAGAUACCCCAGUAGUCCCUGUCUCUUAUAC